CGCCUUGCCAGCCCGCUCAGAAACUCAAAGGAAUUGACGGGGCCCGCACAAGCGGAGGAGCAUGUGGUUUAAUUCGAUGAUACGCGAGGAACCUUACCUGGGCUCGAACGUAAGAUGACUGUAGGUGAAAGCUUACACCUCUUCGGAGCAUUUUACGAGGUGCUGCAUGGUUGUCGUCAGCUCGUGCCGUGAGGUGUCGGGUUAAGUCCCAUAACGAGCGCAACCCCUACCUUUAGUUGCCGUCAGGUAAUGCUGGGGACUCUAAAGGAACUGCCUACGCAAGUAGUGAGGAAGCGGGGAUGACGUCAAAUCAGCACGGCCCUUACGUCCAGGGCUACACACGUGCUACAAUGGCCGAUACAGAGGGCAGCUACCUGGUGACAGGAUGCAAAUCUCCAAAGUCGGUCUCAGUUCGGAUCGGAGUCUGCAACCCGACUCCGUGAAGUUGGAUUCGCUAGUAAUCGCGCAUCAGCCAUGGCGCGGUGAAUACGUUCCCGGGCCUU
rnacentral:rRNA from 1 species